GACGAACCGUGCGAACGUUGUUCGGAAUCACUGGGCUUAAAGGGCGCGUAGGCGGGCUGCCGCGUCCGGGGUGAAAUCCCACGGCUCAACCGUGGAACGGCCUCGGAUACGGGCGGCCUCGAGGGGGGUAGGGGCAUCUGGAACUGUGAGUGGAGCGGUGAAAUGCGUAGAUAUCGUUUGGAACGCCGAUGGUGAAAACAGGUUGCUGGGGCUGUGCUGACGCUGAGACACGAAAGCCAGGGGAGCGAACGGG
rnacentral:rRNA from 1 species